AUUGAACGCUGGCGGCAGGCUUAACACAUGCAAGUCGAGCGGAAACGAUGUAGCUUGCUACAGGCGUCGAGCGGCGGACGGGUGAGUAACGCGUAGGAAUCUGCCUAGUAGUGGGGGACAACAUGUGGAAACGCAUGCUAAUACCGCAUACGCCCUACGGGGGAAAGGAGGGGAUCUUCGGACCUUUCGCUAUUAGAUGAGCCUGCGUAAGAUUAGCUAGUUGGUAGGGUAAAGGCCUACCAAGGCGACGAUCUUUAACUGGUCUGAGAGGAUGGCCAGGCACACUGGGACUGAGGCACGGCCCAGACUCCUACGGGAGGCAGCAGUGGGGAAUAUUGGACGAUGGGCUGAAGCCUAAUCCAGCCAUGCCGCGUGUGUGAAGAAGGCCUUAGGGUUGUAAAACACUUUCAGGGGUGAGGAAGGGUGUUUGGUUAAUAUCCAAACAUUUUGACGUUAGCCCCAGAAGAAGCACCGGCUAACUCUGUG
rnacentral:rRNA from 1 species